GUCUGAAAAAACAUAAUAGUUACAACUUUCAACAACGGAUCUCUUGGUUCUGGCAUCGAUGAAGAACGCAGCGAAAUGCGAUAAGUAGUGUGAAUUGCAGAAUUCAGUGAAUCAUCGAAUCUUUGAACGCACAUUGCGCCCCUUGGUAUUCCAUGGGGCAUGCCUGUUCGAGCGUCAUUUGUACCUUCAAGCUCUGCUUGGUGUUGGGUGUUUGUCUCGCCUCUGCGUGUAGACUCGCCUUAAAACAAUUGGCAGCCGGCGUAUUGAUUUCGGAGCGCAGUACAUCUCGCGCUUUGCACUCAUAACGACGACGUCCAAAAGUACAUUUUUUACACUCUUGACCUCGGAUCAGGUAGGGAUACCCGCUGAACUUAAGCAUAUCAAUAAGCGGAGGA
rnacentral:rRNA from 1 species